GUUUGGCCAGGCAAAUAUGAUAAGAUCUCCAACGAACACGUUUCAGACUUUCAGUCAUCUACCAGUCCACUACCUAACAGUCCUCAUAUCUAGAAAUUUCUUAAUUCUUACAUUAUAAACUUAAGGUCCAUUAGUUGAGGCAUCGAGUCUUGAGUUCUGACCUAGCAAGCUGAGAUCAUUGAAAUUUUUUUGAUCCAUCGAUCACCAACCAAUCAAUCCCCUAUCACGAUAUUAUGGGAUUCCGUAGACAUCCACCGCCACCACCACCGCCAGACCCCUUUGCGCCACCACCACCGCCAGACCCCUUUGCACCACCACCACCCCCUCCUCCACAUCAUCAUCAUGGGCCGCCCCCUCCUCCACGUCCUGAGUUUUAUUAUUCACCACCACCACCACCACCCCCUCACCAUCACCAUCCACCUGGUCCUCCUCCUCCUCCGCGACCUUAUGCUCCAGGGCCUCCACCACCGGGUCCACCAGGACCUCCACCACCAUACUUCGACCCCUACAGACCACCUCCUCCUCAUCAUCCUCCACCUUACUAGUUAAUUAUCUCUUCUCCGGUCUCGAACUUUCCUUCUUUAUGAAGAUAUUAUGCAUCUGCUUGUUCGACUCACGUUGGGGAUCAUUGUAGAAGCAAGCCGGUGCGACUCCUACUCCUACAUUUCUGAUCAGGAUAAAGAGACGUCACCAUGUGCCUGUGUUAUAUCAUUUGUAACUUUGUAUGUGUAUUUUUUUUUUUCUUUUGCUCCCUUUGUUGUGUUUAAAUAGUAUAAUAAUAAUGAUAAAUAAACAUAAUUCCAUUAGCGAUGGUUCCCCCCACCGCCCUCUCA